GACGAACGCUGGCGGCGUGCCUAAUACAUGCAAGUAGAACGCACAGUUUAUACCGUAGCUUGCUACACCAUAGACUGUGAGUUGCGAACGGGUGAGUAACGCGUAGGUAACCUGCCUGGUAGCGGGGGAUAACUAUUGGAAACGAUAGCUAAUACCGCAUAAUAUUGAUUAUUGCAUGAUAAUUGAUUGAAAGAUGCUAUUGCAUCACUACCAGAUGGACCUGCGUUGUAUUAGCUAGUAGGUGAGGUAACGGCUCACCUAGGCGACGAUACAUAGCCGACCUGAGAGGGUGAUCGGCCACACUGGGACUGAGACACGGCCCAGACUCCUACGAGAGGCAGCAGUAGGGAAUCUUCGGCAAUGGACGAAAGUCUGACCGAGCAACGCCGCGUGAGUGAAGAAGGUUUUCGGACCGUAAAGCUCUGUUGUAAGAGAAGAACGGGUGUGAGAGUGGAAAGUUCACACUGUGACGGUAUCUGACCAGAAAGGGACGGCUAACUACGUG
rnacentral:rRNA from 1 species